rnacentral:rRNA from 1 species
CAGUAGCCACGGUAAUACAGAGGGUGCGAGCGUUAAUCGGAUUUACUGGGCGUAAAGCGUGCGUAGGCGGCUUCUUAAGUCGGAUGUGAAAUCCUUGAGCUUAACUUAGGAAUUGCAUUCGAUACUGGGAAGCUAGAGUAUGGGAGAGGAUGGUAGAAUUCCAGGUGUAGCGGUGAAAUGCGUAGAGAUCUGGAGGAAUACCGAUGGCGAAGGCAGCCAUCUGGCCUAAUACUGACGCUGAGGUACGAAAGCAUGGGGAGCAAACAGGAUUAGAUACCCGGGUAGUCCCUGUCUCUUAUAA